rnacentral:rRNA from 1 species
CCUACGGGUGGCAGCAGUCGAGAAUCAUUCACAAUGGGGGAAACCCUGAUGGUGCGACGCCGCGUGGGGGAAUGAAGGUCUUCGGAUUGUAAACCCCUGUCAUGUGGGAGCCAAUUAAAAAGAUAGUACCACAAGAGGAAGAGACGGCUAACUCGGUGCCAGCAGCCGCGGUAAUACAGAGGUCUCAAGCGUUGUUCGGAAUCACUGGGCGUAAAGCGUGCGUAGGCUGUUUCGUAAGCCGUGUGUGAAAGGCGCGGGCGCAACCCGCGGACGGCACAUGAUACUGCGAGACUAGAGUAAUGGAGGGGGAACCGGAAUUCUCGGUGUAGCAGUGAAAUGCGUAGAUAUCGAGAGGAACACUCGUGGCGAAGGCGGGUUCCUGGACAUUAACUGACGCUGAGGCACGAAGGCCAGGGGAGCGAAAGGGAUUAGAUACCCCUGUAGUC